rnacentral:lncRNA from 1 species
AUCAACUUAAAGAUUGCUGUAAAACUUAUCCUCAUAUUUUAAAAGGUUUUUGCUAAAAACAGUUAUAUUGGUUGAUUAUGUUAUAUUGUAUAGCAUUAUUGUAUGCACAUGAUGCACAUGCAGGUCUACUUUUGUGGAAUUUGCGUCAUUAUCAGGUAGAUAUAGGUAGGGUCUUUGAGUUAUGUCACUUUUCUUGCUUUAUUUGUUUAUUUUUUUGUUAUGAUCCUGUACUGUUAGUUACUUUAUAACACCAAACCAUUGUAUAUUUUAACUGACUGUAACAUAAUACGACUAUCAGACCUUAUAUACCUGGAAAAC